UUAAUUUAAUAUCUACAGAUAUAUGCAUUUACAUCAUCAUUUGCUAUGUAUAUUAUGUACAUUUGGUGUGUAUGCUACAUAGUGUGUAUAUAUAAAUGCAAUAGAUCAUAUAAUGAUGCAAGUUUUGUAAAUUCUCCAGGUUUAGUCUUCCCCGGUUCUUUUCUCAUCAGCUGCUGUAACCUCUGCCUGGUCUCACCUCUGUGUCCCACAGGCUGCCACCCUGCCAGGCCUUUCCACCCUUUUGUCCUGUUUGGACUCAGCUCUUAUUUAACUUUCACUUUUAUAAUCUCUUCCCUCCCCAAAGCACAGCCAACAUACAGUGUGAUUCCCUUGCUUUGGCCAUAUCUACCCUGAAGCUAUUUGUGUUUCUUAAUCUUCAGUUUCUUGAAUAUUUUUGUGAAUCAGGAGUGCCUUUGCCUCCUGGCACACUUGUCAUUACUGAGUAAUGUAAGAAAGAUUAACAAAAAAGAAAGCAUUCAAGUCACUCUGUUGGCUUCCCCUCCCCUUUGGACUUUCUUGUCCAAGGCCCCAUUCAUGAUUUGAUGUCCUUUGGGUGGAAGAGAAAGUCACAGUAAGAUCAUGGAUGCCAGUGGAUGCCAUUGGCUGUAUUUUAUUUUCAGAGCUGGUUUUACCCCCCUCCAUUGCGAUGAAGAAUGCUCCGCAGCUGGAAGAUGAUCAACUCGAAGGCUCAUCAAACACCCAAUGGCAUCAAGUCACUGGCUACAUUCAUGCCUCCAGUGUUUUGAAACCAAAGAAGAUGAAAAUAAAAGUCUAGUUCAGCAAGUGGAUUCAUUGGCCUUCAUGCUCAGGGUGCAGAGGCACCAAACAGUGUCAGAAGGAUGCAAAGAAUGAAAGGAUGUCAGAAAAAAGGGGGGGUCGCAAGCUUUUCCACUUGAUGAAAAAACACUAAAGUGGCAAAGCAACUUCAAGUCCAAACACAAGUCACUGCAGAAAUCCUUCACUGAAGAUUCAAUUUUAGACCACAGAAUGCUCUUGUUGAUUUCAGCUCACUAGGCUCCUUGGAUUCAUCCCCCUCCAACUGUGAUCAGUACCAAGGGAGUCCAAUUUUCAGAUGGACAAACAGCAUUGACAAGACUUAACCCUACUCCUGUCAAUUUCUGUACUGUAAAAAAUAGGAGUCCAGAGCUGCUGGCAGAGAACCGCAUGUCACCCAGAACUCUGUCAGAGCAGAGUAUCAACAAUGUUAUCUUCUUGCUGAAAACUUUGUUCGUAGAGGACAGGUCAGCUGUCUGGCUCAAAGGUCUACAUUCUGAAGUCAACUGAAAGUGUCCUCAUGAUUAAUUAAGCUUAAAAUUGUGAGCUUGGCACUCAAGGUAAAAAUACAUCAGCCACAGGGAAAAAAGAAGAUGGCACGGUAAAAGCAAAUCAGAAUUGCAACUCUCAGUGAAGACGCAGAGGGUAAGUGCAAUCCGCAUUUCCAGAUGGAUCUUUGUUGCCCACAGGACGGGGAAAUUCCCAGGUGUAAAAAGACACGAGACACCAGCGUAGCUGUUUUGGCUCAUGUGGCCAUUUCGGCCGGCGCCACAGCACAGUGGAACACCGCACAAAAAGCACUGGUCUGGGUGCCCUGUUAAACUGGCAAUCUGAGAUUUGGGAGGGCAGAUUAGCAUAUUCAUCUGAUUAAAUGGGACUCGAACAGUGAGCCAGAUCAGAAGAUUCCCGAAAAGCGACAUUUGAGCUGGCUCAGUGGGUCGCUGCACGGGAAAUCACAGAGAUCCCAGUGCCCGAUCAGCAGGUGACUGAAACACCUGGGAGAGAGUCAACUGUUCAACUUAAAAAAAAGGCUCUGAGGCAGGAAGCCAGGUGAUCAGGCUCGGCGGGUCCCACCCCCACAAAGAUAAACAAAACGGCAAUUCAAAAUGCUCAAGAUUGAGAGUUUCACUGAGGACACAGCUGAACCAAGGACGGUGCAGCUUGGUGGGGGACGGGAAUCCGCCAUUACCGAGACAUUCCGCCCCUACUGAGGUACACUCCCAUUGCUGACGCAGCCUGCCACUGCCGAGGCAACCUGCCAUAACAGAGAAACUCUGCCAACAGGGUGGAGCCCACAACAGCAGGGCAGAGCCUUGGCAGGAAAAUAGUGACUAGACUGCCUUCUAGCUGGGCAGGAAAAGGUAACAGAUACUCAUAAAGAAAGCCCUAACUCCCUGAGACAGAGAAUCUGAGAAAAAAAAAGGGGUUUUAUGAGUUCUGCUGCAGCAGACUUAAACAUACCGGCCUAACAGCCCUGAAUGAUCAACGGAGCUCACAAUUCAGCGCUUGAGCUCCUAUAAAGUACAGACCACCUCCUCAAGCAGCUCCCUGACCCUGUAUAUCCAAAGAGUCACCUCAAAAAGGAUGGAUCAGACUGACAUUUGAUGGGCAUCAAACACAAACUGGUAGCAUCCCUCACAGUUCCAAAGCUGCUACAGGUGCACCCCAGACAAGCAGGGCCUGGAGUGGACCUCAGCAGUCCUACAGCAGAGGGGCUAGACUGUUAGAAGAAAAACUAAGUAACAGAAAUACUUCAUCAUCAACAAUCUGGGCAUCCAAUCUAAGACCCAAUCAAAACAUCAGAAACUACUCAGAUGACAGGUGGAUAAACCCACAAAUAUGGGAAGAAAAGAGCACAAAAAGGAGGAAAACACCUGAAACCAGAACACCUCGCCUCCUACAAAAAACCAAAACUCCUCACCAGCAAGGGAACAAAGCUGGAUGGAGAAUGAGGGUGAUGAAAUGACAGAAUCAGACUUCAGAAGGUGGGUAAUGAGAAACUUGCAUGAGCUAAAAGAACAUGUUCUAAAUCAAUGCAAAAAAACUAAGAACCUUGAAAAAAGAUUUGAAAAAACAUUCGAGGAAACGAUAACAAGAAUGGACAACUUAGAGAGGAAUAUGAAUGAAUUGAAGGAGCUGAAAAACACAACAUGAGAACUUCGUGAAACCUGCACAAGUUUAAACAGCCGAAUUGACCAAGCAGAAGAAAGGAUAUCAGAAGUCAAAGAUCAACUCAAUGAAAUAAAAUGAGAAACCAAGAUUAGAAAAGAAAGCGCAAAAAAGUAUGAACAAAGUCUUCAAGAAAUGUGGGACUAUGUGAAGAGACCUAACCUACGUUUGAUAGGUGUACCAGAAUGUGACAAAGAGAAUGAAUCCAAGCUGGAAAAUACUCUUCAGGAUAUUAUCCAGAAAAAAUUUUCCAACCUAGCAAGGCAGGCCAGUAUUCAAGUCCAGGAAAUAUUAAGAACACCUCAAAGAUAUUCCACAAGAAGAGCAACCCCAAGGCACAUAAUCAUCAGAUUCACCAGGGUUGAAAUGAAGGAGAAAAUACUAAGGGCAGCCAGAGAGAAAGGUUCGGUCACCCACAAAGGGAAGCCCAGCAGAUCUCUCAGCAGAAACCCUACAACCCAGAAGAGAGUGGGGGUCAAUAUUCAACAUCCUUAAAGAAAAGAACUUUCAACCCAGAAUUUUAUAUCCAGCCAAACUGAGCUUCAUAAGUGAAGAAAAAAUAAAAUCCUUUGCAAACAAGCAACUACUCAGAGAUUUUGUCACCACCAGGCCUGCUUUACAAGAGCUCCUGAAAGAGGCACUACACAUAGGGAGGAACAACCAGUACCAGCCAUUCCAAAAUCACACUAAAUGCUAAAGAGCAUCAACAUAAUGAAGAAUCUGCAUCAACUAAUGGGCAAAACAACCAGCUAGCAUCAAAUUCACACAUAACAAUAUUAACCCUAAAUGUAAAUGGGCUAAAUGCACCAAUCAAAAGACACAGACUGAGAAACUGGAUAAAAAAACAAAACCCAUCAAUGUGCUGUUUCCAGGAAACCCAUCUCACAUGCAAAGAUACAUAAAGGCUCAAAAUAGAGGGAUGGAGGAAGAUUUACCAAGCAAAUAAAGAGCAAAAAAAAAGCAGGAGUUGCAAUUCUCGUCUCUGAUAAAAUAGACUUUAAAGCAACAAAGAUCAAAAGAGACAAAGAAGGUCAUUACAUAAUGGUAAAAGGAUCGAUACAACAAGAAGAGCUAACAAUUCUAAAUAUAUAUGAACCCAAUACAGGAGCACUCAGACAUAUAAGGCAAGUUCUUAAUGAUUUACAAAGAGACUUAGACUCCCAAACAGUAAUAGUGGGAGACUUUAACACUCCACUGUCAAUAUUAGACAGAUCAACCAUACAGAAAAUCAACAAGGAUAUCCAGGGCUUGAACUCAGACCUGGAACAAGCAAACCUGAACUCUCCACCCAAAAUCCACAGAAUAUACAUUCUUCUUAGCACCACAUCAUGCCUACUCAAAAAUUGACCACAUAAUUGAAAGUAAAGCACUCCUCAGCAAAUGCAAAACAACUGAAAUCAUAACAAAUAGUCUCUCAGACCAUAGUGCAAUCAAGCUAGAACUCAGAAUUCAGAAACUAAGAAGUGCACAACUUCAUGGAAACUGAACAACUGGCUCUUGAAUGUUGACUAGGUAAACAAUGAAAUGAAAACAGAAAUAAAGAAGUUCUUUGAAACCAAUGAGAAUGAUGACACAACAUACCAGAAUCUCUGGGACACAUUUAAAGCAGUCUCCAGCGGAAAAUAUAUAGCAAUAAGUGCCCAUAUGAGAAGAGUGGAGAGAUCCAAAAUUGACACCCUAUCGUCAAAAUUGAAAGAGCUAGAGGAGCAAGAUCAAAAAAACUCAAAACAUGGCAGAAGACAAGAAAUAACUAAGAUCAGAGCUGAACUGAAGGAGAUAAAGACACAAAAAACUCUUCAAAAAAUCAAUAAAUCCAAGAGCUGGUUUUUUGAAAAGAUCAACAAAAUAGACAGACCACUAGCCAGACUGAUAAAAAAGAAAAGAGAGAAUAACCAAGUAGAUGCAAUAAAAAACAACAAAGGGGAAAUCACCACAGAUUCCACAGAAAUUCAAACCAUCAUCAGAGAAUAUUACAAACAACUCUAUGCACAUAAACUAGUAAACCUGGAAGAAAUGGAUAAAUUCCUGGACACCUGUGUCCUCCCAAGCCUAAACUAGGAGGAAGCUGAAACUGUGAAUAGACCAAUAACAAGGUCUGAAGUCGAGGCAGCAAUUAAGAGCCUACCACACAAAAAAAGCCCAGGUCCAGAUGGGUUCACAGCUGACUUACACCAGACAUACAAAGAGGAGCUGGUACCAUUCCUUCUGAAACUAUUCCAAAUAAUCCAAAAAGAGGGAAUCCUUCCCAAAUUAUUUUAUGAGACCAACAUCACCCUGAUACCAAAACCCGGCGGGGACUCAACAAGGAAAAAAAAUUUCAGGCCAAUAUUUAUGAUGAACAUAGAUGCAAAAAUCUUCAAUAAAUACUGGCAAGCUGAUUGCAACAGCACAUCAAAAAACUUAUCCAUCAUGAUCAAGUAGGAUUCAUCCCGGGGAUGCAAGGCUGGUUCAACAUACACAAGUCCAUAAACGUAAUUCACCACAUAAACACAACCAAAAACAAAAACCACGUGAUUAUCUCAAUUGACACAGAGAAGGCAUUUGACAAGAUUCAACAGCCCUUUAUGCUAAAAACCCUCAAUAAACUCGGUAUUGACGGAACAUAUCUCAAAGUAAUAAAAGCUAUUUACGACAAACCAACAGCCAAUAUCAUACCAAAUGGGCAAAAACUGGAAGCAUUCCCUUUGAAAUCCGGCACUAGACAAGGAUGCCCUUUCACCACUUUUAUUCAAUAUAGUACUGGAAGUUCUAGCUAGAGCAAUCAGGCAAGAAAAAGAAAUAAAGGGUAUUCAAAUAGGAAAGGUGAAAGCCAAAUUGUCUCUAUUUGCAGAUGACAUGAUAGUAUACCCAGAAGACCCUAUGGCCUCAACCCAAAAACUCCUGAAACUGAUAAGCAACUUCAGCAAAGUCUCAGGAUAUAAAAUCAAUGUGCAAAAGUCACAAGCAUUCCUCUACACCAAUAACAGACUUAAAGGGAGCCAAAUUAAGAAUAAACUGCUAUUCACAAUUUGUACAAAAAGAAUAAAAUACCUAGGAAAACAACUUACAAGGAAUGUAAGGGACCUCUUCAAGGAAAACUACAAACCACUGCUCAACAAAAUAAGAGAGGACACAAACAGAUGGAGAAACAUUCCAUAUUCAUGGUUAGGAAGAAUCAAUAUCGUGAAAAUGGCUAUACUGCCCAAAGUAAUUUACAGAAUCAAUGCUAUCCCCAUCAAGCUACCAUUGACUUUCUUCACAGAACUGGAAAAAACCACCAUGAACUUCAUAUGGAAACAAAAGAGAGCCCGCAUAACCAAGUCAAAGCUAAGCAAAAAGAGCACAGCGGGAGGCAUCACACUACCAAACUUGAAACUAUACUACAAGGCUACAGUAAUCAAAACAGCAUGGUACUGGUACCAAAACAGAGAUAUAAACCAAUGGAACAAAACACAGGCAUCGGAGGCAACACAACAUAUCUACAACCAUACAAUCUUUGAUAAACCUGAAAAGAACAAGCAAUAAGGAAAGGAUUCCCUGUUUAAUAAAUGGUGUUGGGAAAACUGGCUAGCCAUGUGCAGAAAGCAGAAACUGGACCCCUUCCUGACACCUUACACUAAAAUUAAUUCCAGAUGGAUUAAAAACUUAAACAUAAGACCUGGCAACAUAAAAACCCUAGAAGAAAAUUUAGGCAAAACCAUUCAGAACAUAGGAGAGGCAAGGACUUCAUGAACAAAACACCAAAAGCAUUGGCAACAAAAGACAAAAUAGACAAACGGGACCUAAUCAAACUCCACAGCUUCUACACAGCAAAAGAAACAGUCACUAGAGUGAAUUGGCAACCAACAGAAUGGGAAAAAAUUUUUGCAGUUUACCCAUCUGACAAAGGGCUGAUAUCCAGAAUUUACAAAGAACUCAAACAGAUUUACACGAGAAAAACAAGCCCAUUCCAAAAUGGGCAAAGGAUAUUAACAGACACCUUACAAAAGAAGACAUACAUGAGGCCAACAAACGUAUGAAAAAGUGCUCAUCAUCACUGGUCAUUAGAGAGAUGCAAAUCAAAACCACAUUGAAAUACCAUCUCAUGCCAGUUAGAAUAGUGAUCAUUAAAAAAUCUGGAGACAACAGAUGCUGGAGAGGAUGUCGAGGAAUAGGAACACUUUUACACUGUUGGUGGGAGUGUAAAUUAGUUCAACCAUUGUGGAAGACAGUGUGGCAAUUCCUCAAGGCCUUAGAAAUGGAAAUUCCAAUUGACCCAGCAAUUCCAUUACUGGGUAUAUAUCCAAAGGACUAUACAUCAUUCUACUAUAAGGACACAUGCACACGAAUGUUCAUUGCAGCACUGUUUACAAUAGCAAAGACCUGGAACCAACCCAAAUGCCCAUUGAUGAUAGACUGGAUUGGGAAAAUGUGGCACAUAUACACCAUGGAAUAUUAUGCAGCAAUUAAAAAUGAUGAGUUCGUGUCGUUUGUAGGGACAUGGAUGAAUCUGGAGAACAUAAUUCUCAGCAAACUGACACAAGAACAGAAAAUGAAAUAUCACAUAUUCCCACUCAUAGGUAAGUGAUGAAAAAUGAAGGGAGUCUAUAGCGAAGGGAGUCUAUAGGGGAGGGACAGUGGGGGGGCGGGGAGCUGGGGAGGGAUAGUCUGGGGAGAAAUGCCAAAUGUUGGUGAAGGGGAGGAAGGCAGCAAAACACACUGCCAUGUGUGUACCUGUGCAACUAUCUUGCAUGUUCUGUACAUGUACCCCAAAACCUAAAAUGCAAUAAAAAAAAAGAUAAAUAAAUAAAUUCAGCUUAAACAUUUUGCCAGGAGCACUGCAGAGUCAAUGCUAUAAGAUUCCUACCUCAGUCCAUCUGCAGGCAGAAAAGGCCCAGUGUGUCCAUCCCCAUUAUGGUGAUACUAGCUAGAAUGGUCACUUGGUUAAAGAGGAGUCUAGGAGUUCUGUCCCUUGUAAAGACACCUUAUUUGUAAUUAAUUUGAAAAGUGGUUUGAAAAACUUUAAACAUCUGUAUUCUAACCAUCUUCCUCUGACCAUUUUAUCAUCAAUUAAUCACCCCUGUCUGUGUUAGUUAUUAUAUUUAUAUUUGUACAUUGGGAAGAUUCUCUCUCGAAAUUUUACUAUGUACCUGUUUUUACUGGCAUUCUUUACAAAAAAGAGUAUUCCCCACCCAAAUUUUAACUUUCAUUUAGAAUUAAUUUUAAUUUGUUUUGCUCGCAUUCUGUUGUGGAAAAGAAUAUUUUCUGCCCCAGUUUUAACUUUCACCCAAAAUUAAUUUUAGUCUAUUAGUUAUAAUGUUGAAACUUUAAAUUUGUUUAAUUAAAAAAUUUUUUGCCCAUUACUCUGGACUAGUGGAUUUUCUACAAAUAAUGUUUUAAGUUUUUAUUAUUAUGAUUGGUUUGGCAGAUAAACCUAUAGAUUAAUAAAAACAUUCUUUUUUCUGUU